AAUAGAUACCCUGGUAGUCCACGCCGUAAACGAUGAGUGCUAAGUGUUAGAGGGUUUCCGCCCUUUAGUGCUGCAGCUAACGCAUUAAGCACUCCGCCUGGGGAGUACGGUCGCAAGACUGAAACUCAAAGGAAUUGACGGGGGCCCGCACAAGCGGUGGAGCAUGUGGUUUAAUUCGAAGCAACGCGAAGAACCUUACCAGGUCUUGACAUCCUCUGACAACUCUAGAGAUAGAGCGUUCCCCUUCGGGGGACAGAGUGACAGGUGGUGCAUGGUUGUCGUCAGCUCGUGUCGUGAGAUGUUGGGUUAAGUCCCGCAACGAGCGCAACCCUUGAUCUUAGUUGCCAGCAUUCAGUUGGGCACUCUAAGGUGACUGCCGGUGACAAACCGGAGGAAGGUGGGGAUGACGUCAAAUCAUCAUGCCCCUUAUGACCUGGGCUACACACGUGCUACAAUGGAUGGUACAAAGAGCUGCGAACCCGCGAGGGUAAGCGAAUCUCAUAAAGCCAUUCUCAGUUCGGAUUG
rnacentral:rRNA from 1 species